rnacentral:rRNA from 1 species
CCAGACUCCUACGGGAGGCAGCAGUGGGGGAUAUUGGACAAUGGGGGGAACCCUGAUGCAGCGACGCCGCGUGAGUGAGGAAGUAUUUCGGUAUGUAAAGCUCUAUCAGCAGGGAAGAAAAUGACGGUACCUGACUAAGAAGCCCCGGCUCACUACGUGCCAGCAGCCGCGGUAAUACGUAGGGGGCAAGCGUUAUCCGGAUUUACUGGGUGUAAAGGGAGCGUAGACGGCAAUGCAAGUCUGGAGUGAAAGCCCAAGGCCCAACCAUGGGACUGCUCUGGAAACUGUGUAGCUUGAGUGCAGGAGGGGUAAGCGGAAUUCCUAGUGUAGCGGUGAAAUGCGUAGAUAUUAGGAGGAACCCCGGUGGCG